AAGUCGUAACAAGGUUUCCGUAGGUGAACCUGCGGAAGGAUCAUUACAAAUCCACUCAUAUGACAACGUUGAACCAUGGGGGGGGGUGCUGGGGUGCUAGGGUGUUGUUGCUGCUGCUGACGCUGCUGCUACAGCUGCUGACGCGCACACACGCCCGCACGCACGCCCGCCCACAAUAAGACAAACCACUGCUACACAAGGCACAAUCUAUCCAAUGACAACAACCUAGAAACAACUUACAACAAUGGAUCUCUAGGCUCUU
rnacentral:misc_RNA from 1 species